rnacentral:lncRNA from 1 species
AUGGCUCCUGUGCUGGUGYUGCGGUCCCACCGUCACCUUUCCCUCACAGAGAGGGGGAGACGUGCUGUAGAGGGGAGGCAGCGCUGCAAUCGGCCAGCCCUUGGGGCACUGCCAGCACAGAGGGAGCAASACAGCCUGCUGAGGAGUCCUGCAGAGUGGAGCUGGCGGCAGAGAAUACCGGGAUCCUGCUCGGCAGCUUUGCUGACCUGCCUGGUGGGGUCUGCAGGACCAGCUUACCCCAACCUUCGCGCCAAAGAGAAGGACUACGGCCCUACGUGGAACAUCAGAGCCACUGCAGGAGACAUUUCGGCAGCAAYCGUGUUUCCAGUCAGUUAUCCCGCAAAGGUGCUCACAUAUUUUCAAAUCUAGGCAGGUCUGGGAGAGUUUCUUCAGUCUGGUCCUAUCCAAUUUCCCUGUGUCAAAGGAGGGGGAGUGAAUAAUUUAUCUCCUGUCCUCUAGCUCCCUCCCUGCUCAGGUUUCAUCUCAGAUCUGCUUCUGUACACUGAAGAGAUGCUUCAGCAGGAACUCCUGGAUUAGCAAGUUACUGACAGGGACAGAGCCAGCCAGUAUCAUCCAGUGAUACAACUUGUCUUUAUGGUGCUUAUUUGUAUGCUGAGAACAGUAGUAAGUGGAGCAGGAGAAAUAAUAUGUGAAUAAUGCAAAUAAUAGGAUCAGGUUCCACAGUAAGUCUUACUUUUAGUUCCUCUUUUGCCGCAUAACUUUAGCAUUUAGAUUGUCUUUAUUGUUCAUUAUUAAUUCAACAGGAGCACACAGAGGCCGUAAUUGAAUUUGGAGCUGUGUUGUACCAGGCACCACAGAAUUAGGAUGCAGUCCCUGAAGAACACGCAGUCAGCUUGAGAACGUGUCCCUGCAAGAAAGAAGAAAAGUUAUUUGAUGUCUUUUUAUAGCUUAAGAUAUGCAAAGAUGCAAAAGUAAUGGGUGCCAAUGUUAGCAGUGAAAUCUAUUUGAUCUUAUUAAUUUUUAAAUAAUCCAUGUUUUCGUUUCUUUGUCAUUACUACAUUUCCUCACGUUAUCUAAGUACUGUGUGCUGCAUUUUUUGCAAAGUAUGAGGAAGAUUAGUCAAGCGUCUUUUGAGUUACAGGUCAUUACAGUUUCCUAUGACUACAGAGCUAUUUAAUAAAAACAAUUAAACAUUAUGACA